rnacentral:rRNA from 1 species
CCCUUAGAUGUUCUGGGCCGCACGCGUGCUACAUUGAGUGGAUCAGCGGGUCAGGUUGCGCGAAAGCGUUUCCUAAUCUUUAAAUCCGCUCGUGAUGGGGAUUGACGGUUGCAAUUUUCUGUCAUGAACGAGGAAUACCUUGUAAGCGCGGGUCAUCAUCCCGCGCUGAAUACGUCCCUGCCCUUUGUACACACCGCCCGUCGCUCCUACCGAUUGAGUGGUCCGGUGAGGCUUUGGGAUCUGAGCGGAAAGAGCGUUUCGCUGUUUCUGCUCGGAAAACUCAGUCGAACCUUAUCAUUUAGAGGAAGGAGAAGUCGUAACA